rnacentral:lncRNA from 1 species
UUCUGUAGACACAGCGACCUACCUGUAUUGUAUUGGUUCAUAAUUCUUCAAUGAAUAAAAUAAUUAUAAAGGAUGCACCUUUUUUCUACUAAAAAUAAAAUAUAUAAACUAGAAGUCGUUGCUUUGAAGUCAAAGUAAAGAAUUAUAUUUACAGUUACAUAUAAAAUCACUGUCCAGAUUCGCUAGUUUGAAGUCAAAGUAAUUUCUCCUAUUUACGUUAUAAGCCAGGACAGAAACAGUGCCGAUGUGACAUCAAAUGAAAGGUGUAUCCAAG